UACGUAGGGGGCUAGCGUUGUCCGGAAUCAUUGGGCGUAAAGAGCGUGUAGGCGGCCCGGUAAGUCCGCUGUGAAAGUCGGGGGCUCAACCCUGGGAUGCCGGUGGAUACUGUCGAGCUCGAGUCCGGAAGAGGCGAGUGGAAUUCCUGGUGUAGCGGUGAAAUGCGCAGAUAUCAGGAGGAACACCAAUGGCGAAGGCAGCUCGCUGGGACGUGACUGACGCUGAGACGCGAAAGCGUGGGGAGCAAACAGG
rnacentral:rRNA from 1 species